rnacentral:lncRNA from 9 species
UUUUUUUUUUUAAUUUAUUCUUUGUUUGUUUGGCUUUUUAGGGCCACACCUGUGACAUAUUUAAGUUCCCAGCCUAGGGAUUGAAUAGUAGCUACAGCUGUCAGCCUACCUCACAGCUCAUGGCAAUGCCGGAUCCUUAACGCACCAAGCAAGGCCAGAGAUUGAACUCGAAUACUCAUGGAUACUAGUUGGGUUCAUGACCUGCUGAGCCACAAUAGGAACUCGUGAAACGGCCCAACUUUAAAUCCCAGCUCUAGCCUUCAUUAGCUGCAUAAAGAAGCUUUGCAUGAUGGGUUUGGGUUUUUUUUGUUUGUUUGUUUUUUAGGCCACUCACUCAGCAUAUGGAAGUUCGCAGGCUAGAGGUGCAAUCAGAGCUGUAGCUGCCGGCCUAUACUAUAGCCACAACCACAGCAAUCUAUACCACAGCUCACGGUUCAUGGCAAUGCCAGAUCCUUAACCCACUAAGCAAGCCCAGGGAUCAAACCAUGUCCUCAUGGAUACUAGUCAGAUUUGCUACUGCUGAGCCACGACAGGAACUCCUACAUGUUUUUUAAUUUAUUCUGAUUAUCCAGGCUCCUAUCCAUAAAAAGGAAAUAUACCACCUAUUUCAAAAAAGUUAUAGAGAGGGCUAUAUUUAUUUGGCACAAAGCAGGCUAUUUCAAGUACAAAAUAACACUGUCAUGUCAUUUAUGGAAUGUGGCUAGAGAAAGCUAUUAUAAUUAUCAACCAGAAUGAAACAUGCCUCCAACCUACACUCAUAACUCUGGCUGGGAGACAGAUCAUUCUGUAAACAUUCAGUUUUGUCUACAUCUUUCUAAAAAUGUAAAACCCAAAACCAACCACAAGAUUCCUAGUACGGCCAUUCAGUGGGAUUACUACCCCCACUUUUCAGGACAUCUUUUCUUUUGGCCACAUCCUAGGGAUCAAACCUGCACCACAGCAGCGACCCAAGCCCUUGCAAUAACAAUGCCAGAUCCCCAACCCACUAAGCCACCAGGGAACUCUGAGGAUAUCUUACUUUUACUAAUGCAGCCAAAAACAAAUUUUUUUAAUAAUUAUAUUAUGUGGCGCUGGAUAGUACCAAACUUGAUCCACCAAAACCUUGAACUCUGUGUUGUCUUUUUAAAACAUAAAGUUCAUUUUCCCAUUUUAUCAACCAUAUGUUUGAAGUUACAUUUAUCUCUAAUAAACUCCAUCUGACUAUUUUAGCCCAAGAAUUUUAUAACUCUUGUUUCUGUAAUCCUAGGUAUUCUUAGGUCUUUACUCAAGUUGUUGAUAAGAUCCAGUAAGACAGAGCUGAAGCGAGCUUUCAGAAUAAACUUCAGGCUGAUACCCAUCCAUUAAUCUACACUCUCUAGGCAGAGCUGCCUGAGCCAAGUGAAUUCCAUCUAUGCAGAUUACCGGUGCAUUCAUGUAUCUAGUUCCUCCUUGCCCACAGAGAGAUUUUAAGAGUGAUGUGAUCAAGCCAUCUGCUGAAAUAAAGAUAUACCUGGUUUGGUAUAAAUUUUUAUCCCAUCAUGGCUCAGCGGUUAAUGAAUCCAACUAGGAACCAUGAGGUUGCAGGUGUGAUCCCUGGCCUUGCUCAGUGGGUUAAGGAUCCGGUGUUGCCGUGAGCUGUGGUGUAUAUAUAUGUAUACUGGUCUGACAGUACUUUACUAGACCCCCAAAAUUUAUAAUGUUGAAACCUAAUUCCCAAUGUGAUAGUAUCUGAGGUGGAGCUUUGGGGGAGUGAUUAGGUCAUGAAGGCAGAACUCUAAGAAUAGGACUAGUGCCCUUAUAAAAGAAAGUGCAGAGCCCCCUUGCCCAUUCCACCACAUGAAGUUACUCUGAGAAGAUAGCUAUUUAUGACCUAGGAAAGCUGGCCCUUACCAGACACAAACACAGAAUAUCUUGGUACUUGAUCUUGAACUUCCCAGGCUCUGAAAUCGUGAGAUAAAAAAUUUCUGUUGUUUAUGAGCCACCCUGUCUGUUAUAGAAGCCCUAAUGGACUAAGACAGUCCACCAAUCCAGUAAGCCUCUCAAAGGGAAAUAAAUUAGUUUGGCAGGUUAAAAAUUCUUCCCCUCAGGAGUUCCCGUCGUGGCGCAGUGGUUAACGAAUCCGACUAGGAACCAUGAGGUUGCGGGUUCGGUCCCUGCCCUUGCUCAGUGGGUGAACGAUCCGGCGUUGCCGUGAGCUGUGGUGUAGGUUGCAGACUCGGCUCGGAUCCCGCGUUGCUGUGGCUCUGGCGUAGGCCAGUGGCUACAGCUCCGAUUCGACCCCUAGCCUGGGAACCUCCAUAUGCCGCGGGAGCGGCCCAAGAAAUAGCAACAACAACAACAACGACAACAACAACAACAAAAAAAAAAAGACAAAAGACAAAAAAAAAAAAAUUCUUCCCCUCAAAAGCAAAACCCUUGAUUCCUCACAGCUAAGCAGAAGGUUGCAACAGUUGGCCCUCCAAAGGUAAACAAACUUGGCCUCUGAGAGGUGGUAUUAGAGGCUCAAGUAAACAGAUAAACUCCCCAGGAGGAAAACCAUUAGCUGGUACCACUGUCAUGAAGCCCCUGGCCAAACCAAGAGUGCUUUUCAAGAUGGCACUAUUAACAAGACAAAAAUGAGUUGCUGGGUUUUGUUUUUUGUUUGUCUUUAUUUGGGUUUUGUCAUUGUUGUUAUUGUUUGGUUUUUUUGGCCACACCUACAGCAUGCAGAAGUUCCUGGGCCAGGGAUCAAACCACAGCAGUGACCCAAGCCACAGCAGUGUCAACACUGGAUCCUUAACGGCUAUGCCGCCAGGAAACUCUGAGGAGUGAGGUUUUGUCUGAAGGAGUAAACAUUAAAAGAAGAAAUAUUUGAGAAUUAUGAAUCUUCAACCAUGGAAGUUCAGGGAGUAAGAUUCUCCCAUAAACUCAACUCAGUGAAGUAUGUAUAAAUCAUUGAUACGCAAGCUCUUCUGAUUAUAAGCCAACAGGUAUAUCCUACCUUGCAAUGUGGAAAAAACACAAUCAACACAAGCAUCAGAGAGACAAACAGCAAAGACAGUAUCAUUUAAUUAUGGAUAACAGCCUGUGAGAAAGCCUGACAAAUUACAAAAUUAACUAUAAUUUCAGACUCAGAAAUGAAGUAGAUCAAAUACCCAAGACAUAAGUAACAGCUUUCCAUGAAAGUCUUGCAAACUUUGGAACACGUAAUGUGAGAAAAAAGAAUGCAUACAUGUAUGUGUAACUGGGUCACCAUGCUAUACAGCAGAAAAAAUAUAUAUAUAUAAAUAAAUGAUAAAAAAAGAAAGUCUUGCAAACUGUAUUACUUCAUUUCUGAACCCAACAAAUUUUUAGAGGUAUGAAAAACUGUAUUUCUCCAGACGUUACAAUCUUAUCCUAAUUUUCUCAUAUGGCAGCCAAAGGAGCCCUCUGUAUGCAUAAUGAAAACUGCCAGUUCAGCCAGUGCAGGCCACUUGCUCCUGCAGGCAUACCACCUCCACAUGUAAACCAAGCCCUGCUCAGCCUCCAAAGGCCACCUGCUUGUACAAUGCUUUUUCCUUAGUUCCUCUGCAAGAGAUUAUGUCUGCGUUCUGUAAAUUCCCAUAAAUACUUCAUGGAAAAUAGAUAUUACAGAAUCUGUCCCCUUCUUAUUUGUAUUACAGUUAGUUCUUUUCAUUCCUUAUUCUAAAAUGUUGAAAUGGGGAAUGUGCUCCGUUCCUCACUCUCCAACAGUACUCAUCUCAGGGUACUACUAAGUCAAACAAGAGAGUCAGCCUUUCCAACACAGUUUCCUUAUCAUUAAAUGGGAAUAAAAAUACUUAUUUCACAAGGCUCCCACAUUUCCUUGAGGUAAUAGAAGAGAAAACAUAUCACUAACAGCAACAGGGUACUUGAACAUUAGCUGUUAUUUGGUUGUCACUGACCUCAAAGUUGUUCGCUUAAAACAAUCAAAGUUAUGCAUAACCCCAGGCAGGGGUCCAUGUACCAGGGCACAACCUACAAAAUUUUAACAUCUAACUGCCCCACUUUAUGAAUCAAACACUGAAGUGAUAAUGGUAAUUAAUAAAACCACAGGAACAUCAAAACAAUGCAACCAGCAAAAAUGUUUUAUAUUUUAAAAGGAAGAAUUUUAAAGCAGAAUAUCCACAACAGAAUUAUGCUAAAGAAAGCCUGCAAAAGAAAUGGUAUCAGAAGUUCCCAUUGUGGCUCGGUGGGUUACAAACCCAAUUAGUAUCCAUUACAAUACAGGUUUGACCCCUGGCCUCUCUCAAUGGGUUAAGGAUCCAGAGUUUCCUUGAGCUGUGGUGUAGGUCGCAGAUGUGGCUCAGAUCCUGCGUUGCUAUGGCACAGGCUGGCAGCUGUAGCUCGGACUCAGCCCUUAGCCUGGGAACCUCCAUUUGCCGUGGGUAAGGCCCUAAAAAGAAGGGAAAAAAAAAAAAAAAAAGAAAACCAGGAGAGUCACUGGCUGCCAAAAGGGCCUGCUGGGCCACUGUCUACAGAAAUUCCAUGUCUCACACACAGUGUCUAUUUCCCAACAGGAAGAUAGUUCAUUUGGAACAUAUGUCACUGAUGGCACCAGCUAAGUGACAUCAUCCACUCUUGGGAUACUAUGGCCCUUUGUCAACAGAAAAGCAGUUACUAGGAGACAACGUGCAGAAAAUACGUAUAUUAAAUCCUCCAGGGAACCUGGUUCAAAAGUUAUGGGCAAUCGAAUUAUCCUUGGAAUAGAAGGUAUACUACUGAAAACAAUUUAUUCCUGUUUUAGAAAGCAGUACGGAAAUAAAUAUUUGCGAAUAGUUACGGGUAUUACCAUUUAAAUACUCUGUGCUCUCCCUCAUGUUUAACAGAUUUUCAUUUGCAAGAACUGAGGCAAAGCACAGAGCUCUGUCCUAGGUUACCAGACUUAAAAUCUCAAGUCACUCUUUGCUCUUGCCUCUCCAAAAUUACUACUAUACCUUAGUAUAUGAGAGGAAAAAUGGUCCACAGAAUCUGAAUUUGCUAUUUUUCUUGGCCACAUCUACAACAUGAGGAAGUUCUUGAGCCCAGGAUAAAACUCCUGACCUGAGCCACCGCAGUGAUUCUUAACCAGCUGCACCACAGGAAAACUCCCUUGAAUUUGCUUUUAAUAAUGGUGUUUGGUAUAACACUAAGGAAUGCUUGUGGGGGUUUUUUGGUGGGGGGGUAGAAAUAGACUAUAAAAUGUCUCCUAAUAAUCCCUGCUUCCUGGUACCCACAUCCAUGUGUAAUCCCCUCCCCUUGAGUGUGGGCAGGACCUAUAACAUGCCUCUAAUAGAACAGACAAAGAUGAGAGGGUGUCCCUUUCAUGAUUAUUAAGAUUGUAGCAUCCAUCUCACUUGCUGGCUGGAUGAAACAAGCUGCUAUGUUGUGAGCUACUCAGAUGCAUGUGGCAUGGAACUGAGAGUGCCCACAAAAAAGCUGGCCCUCAGUCUGACAACCUGCAAAAAAUUGAAUGCUACCAACAACCUGUGAGACUGGAAGCAUAUCCUUCCACAGUAGAGUUUUCAGAUAAGACUACAGCCCUGGUCAACCCCUUGAUGGCAGCCUUGCAGAGAAGCCUGUUAAGCUGUGCUUGAACAGUUAACCCACAAAAACUGUGAGAAAGUAAAUAUGUUGUUUUAAGCUAUGUUUGUGAAUACUGUCACAUAGCAAGUGAGUAGAAUCAGAAGCCCACUUGUUUUCUAUUUGUUUGGGUAAUGCUUUAUACUUUUCCUUUUACAAUAAGCACUUAUUACUUUCUUACUUAAAAAAAAAAAGUUUUUAAACAAUGUUUUCUAAAGCUUGGCCUAGAAAUAAUGUUCCAUAUAGCUGGGGUUUUUGUAUGUCCAUUGCCUGUACCUCAAAACCUCAGAGUCGGAUGACUAUGAUGAUGGUAUUCAUCCUGGCUAGCAAUACUCAGUCUGGUAUUCUAAGCCCAUGUCAUUCUGAGCACCAUAUUACCUUCCAAACUCAUCUCCUAUUAAUUAAUCCAAAAUGGGCCUCAGCAGCUGCCCCGGCCAAUUCCUGGCCCCAGGAAUAGCUUCUUCACACUCUCAUAGCUUGCACCUCUGCUAAUGGUGUGCCCUCUCCCUGCCAUUCCUACCCACCUGAGCCAAGUCUUUACUGCCACCCAGACUUAGCUCGUUCCAAAUGCAUGAAGGCGUCCAGAUGGCCCUGGCUUGCAGGCACCACAUGCUAUCAACACCUGGCACAAACAACAAUUUGCUGCACCCUAUCUUUAGCACUGCAGAGCUGCUCCUGGAUCUUGCUAUCUGUCACUUCUCCAGCCAGAGGAUAAGGCUCAUUGUCCUGUGUUCCCUCAGAACCAACCCCUAAUACAGCUGGUAUUCUUGUCAAUGAGGAUACCACAUGACCCCUAUAGUUUAAUACUUUUUUGACAUGUACUUCAAAUACUAUGAAUAAAACAUUUUCCAGGUCUAUGAAGGAAAAACUUUCUCAGCUAUGAAGCAUCAAAAAGCAACCAAAGAGAAACAUGAACAAAUUUAAAUAUUCACAGCAAAUCCAGUCAAAUGCUUAGAAUUAAAAAAAAAACAAAGUGUCCAUAAACAGAGGGAUAGUAAAUUAUGAGAAGUCUACACUAUAUAAUUCUAACAAGCCAUUUAAAAGAAUGAAGUAGCUCUGUACUUACUGAUAUGGAUCAUGUCAAGAUACAUUAUCAAGUCAGAAAAGGAAGUUGAUCAGUACAUAUUCUAUGACCCCACAUAUGGUUACACAUGGGAAAAAACGUAUUAUAAAAAUGCCCAGAGGCGUUCCCAUUGUGGCACAGCAGAAACGAAUCCGACCAGGAACCAUGGGGUGGCAGGUUCGAUCCCUGGCCUUGAUCAGUGGGUUAAGGAUCCAGCGUUGCUGUGAGCUGUGGUGUAGGUCGCAGACGCAGCUCAGAUCCCAAGUUGACAUGGCUGUGGCGUAGGCCAGCGGCUACAGCUCCGAUUGAACCCCUAGCCUGGGAACCUCCAUAUGCCGUGGGUGCAGCCCUGAAAAGACAAAAAAAAAAAAAAAAAAAAAA